rnacentral:rRNA from 1 species
CCUACGGGAGGCAGCAGUGGGGAAUAUUGGGCAAUGGACGCAAGUCUGACGCAGCAACGCCGCGUGAAGGAAGACGGCUUUCGGGUUGUAAACUUCUUUUCUGGGUGAAGAGUAGUAGCCGGUACCCAUUGACUAACCACCGGUUAACUCCGUGCCAGCAGCGGCGGUAAUCCGUAGGUGGCAAGCGUUGUCCGGAUUUAUUGGGUGUAAAGGGCGUGCAGCCGGAAAGACAAGUCAGAUGUGAAAUCCACGGGCUUAACCGGUGAACUGCAGUUGAAACUGUUUCCCUUGAGUGAAGUAGAGGUAAGCGGAAUUCCGUGUGUAGCGGUGAAAUGCGUAGAUAUUAGGAGGAACACCAGUGGCGAAGGCGGAUUACUGGGCGUUAACUGACGGUGAGGCUCGAAAGUGUGGGGAGCAAACAGGAUUAGAUACCCGGGUAGUC